rnacentral:rRNA from 1 species
UUAAUUUGAGAGUUUGAUCCUGGCUCAGGACGAACGCUGGCGGCGUGCCUAAUACAUGCAAGUCGAACGAACUCUGGUAUUGAUUGGUGCUUGCAUCAUGAUUUACAUUUGAGUGAGUGGCGAACUGGUGAGUAACACGUGGGAAACCUGCCCAGAAGCGGGGGAUAACACCUGGAAACAGAUGCUAAUACCGCAUAACAA